CCUAGCUGAGAAGCCCCAUCCACUUCUCCUUAGAGCCUCCAUCAGAGCAUGGCUGUCCUGGUCUUGCUCCUCUGCCUGGUCACCUUUCCAAGCUGUGUCCUGUCCCAGGUGCAGCUGAAGGAGUCAGGUCCUGACCUGGUGCAGCCCUCACAGACCUUGUCCCUCACCUGCACUGUCUCUGGUUUCUCAUUAACUAGCUAUAAUGUACACUGGGUUCGCCAGCCCCCAGGAAAGGGUCUGGAGUGGAUCGGAAUAAUAGCGUAUAAUGGGAACACAGCAUAUAAUUCAGCCCUCAAAUCCAGACUGAGCAUCACCAGGGACACCUCCAAGAGCCAGGUAUUCUUAAAAAUGAACAGUAUGCAACCAGAGGACACAGCCACCUACUACUGUGCCAGAGACACAGUGAAGGAAGUCUAG